rnacentral:rRNA from 1 species
GACGGGGGGGGCAAGUGUUCUUCGGAAUGACUGGGCGUAAAGGGCACGUAGGCGGUGAAUCGGGUUGAAAGUGAAAGUCGCCAAAAAGUGGCGGAAUGCUCUCGAAACCAAUUUACUUGAGUGAGACAGAGGAGAGUGGAAUUUCGUGUGUAGGGGUGAAAUCCGUAGAUCUACGAAGGAACGCCAAAAGCGAAGGCAGCUCUCUGGGUCCCUACCGACGCUGGGGUGCGAAGGUAUGGGGAGCGAAUAGG